rnacentral:rRNA from 1 species
UGCAAGUCGAACGGCAGCAUGGGGGCAACCCUGAUGGCGAGUGGCGAACGGGUGAGUAAUAUAUCGGAACGUACCCAAGAGUGGGGGACAACCAGUCGAAAGAUUGGCUAAUACCGCAUACGAUCUAAGGAUGAAAGUGGGGGACCUUCGGGCCUCACGCUCCUGGAGCGGCCGAUAGCUGAUUAGCUAGUUGGUGGGGUAAAGGCCUACCAAGGCGAUGAUCAGUAGCUGGUCUGAGAGGACGAUCAGCCACACUGGGACUGAGACACGGCCCAGACUCCUACGGGAGGCAGCAGUGGGGAAUUUUGGACAAUGGGGGAAACCCUGAUCCAGCAAUGCCGCGUGAGUGAAGAAGGCCUUCGGGUUGUAAAGCUCUUUUGUCAGGGAAGAAAUUGAUUGGGCUAAUAUCCCGAUUAGAUGACGGUACCUGAAGAAUAAGCACCGGCUAACUACGUGCCAGCAGCCGCGGUAAUACGUAGGGUGCGAGCGUUAAUCGGAAUUACUGGGCGUAAAGCGUGCGCAGGCGGUUGUGUAAGACAGAUGUGAAAUGCCCGGGCUAAACCUGGGAAUUGCAUUUGUGACUGCACGGCUAGAGUGUGUCAGAGGGGGGUAGAAUUCCACGUGUAGCAGUGAAAUGCGUAGAUAUGUGGA